rnacentral:ncRNA from 2 species
ACGUCUGAAUAAGGUGCCCGAAAUGUACUAUCACUGAUACCAUAAAGGGAGUCCAUGUAUUUAGACAGCAGGUCGGUGCCCCUAAAAGCAGGUAUCCGCUAAAGAGUGUGUUAAAACUCACCUGCCGAAUACUAGGGCCCCCGAAAAUGAAUGGCGCAUAUAGUACUACCGAUCUCAGACAUCAGUUCUAUUGAACUGAGAGUAGGGGGAUGUGGACAUUUUUGUGAAGGUGCAAUGUGAGUUGGACUGGAAGAAUGUCUAUUACAGAUCCUAAUUGAAGUAGCGAUUAUCCAGGCUUGUAUCCUGGGGGCUGAUGAGGAGUAGGGUUUCUGGACAACUUAAACAGAUCCAGAGUUAGUCGAUCCUAAUCUCAAUAAUGGGAGAAAGGGAGUACAGUUGAUAUUCUGUAACUGACAACAGUUCGCGGCAACGCAUACUAUUUUUCUCCGCCAAUCUUAUACCGUUGGUAGGGAUCUCUUUCCUACAUGACAGUACUAAUACCCAGGGAAACUGGUCAUCAGGCGAACUGCGGCGUUCUGCUGGCAAAACAUAGCUUCGGUUAUGUCAAUGGCUAUUGGAUUGGUCCAUGAAGCGAAAAAUAGUUUACUGUGUCACUCGUACCGAUAACCGCAUCAGGUCUUCUAGGUAAGUAGCCUAUGGCCAUUGAGGCAUGAUAGUUCAGGGAAUUCGGCCAAUUAGAGCUGUAACUUCGGGAUAAAGCUUGGCUCUGAUGAAAAUCAGAACCGAUUGUUACGCGGAGAGCCCAACUGUUUAAUAAAAACGUAGUGUCGCGCUGUGGUAGUAUAGCCAGUGAACGCGACAUGAAUCCUGCUCAGUGCUGUGUCUGUUAAUAUGGUUCAAGCCAACGAAGCACCGGUAAAUAGCUGGGGUAACUAUGACUCUUAUCAAAGUAGCGAAAUACCUCGUCACUUAAUUAGUGACCUGCAUGAACGGAGCUAUGAGGUUCUCACUGUCCCAAACUGUCUCUCAGCGAACCAACUGUAGUGGGAACGGUCACUAGAUAUCCAGCGGGGAAAGAAGACCCUGUAGAGCUUCACUUUGGUCUAGUCUUGUAUAGUUCCUGCGGGGGUGUAGACUAGGUGGGAGAGCAAUCGAUUCUGAAAAACCACUACCCUGUUUGGAAUUAUGCUUACCUAUCACAAGGAAUAGGACUAGAUAGAAAGUUUGGCUGGGGCGGCACACCUUCGAAAGAGCAGCGAAGGUGUCCUAAGUUGAGCUCAGUGAGGACAGAAAUCUCACGUUGAGGAUAAGGCCAAAAGCUCAAUUUACUGUGCCUUUUUGUACUAGGAUCAGUUACGAAAGUAAGGCCUAACGAUCCCUAAAUAGCCUCAGGUGCGUGAGGAUUGGGGUGACAGACAAGUUACCUCCGGGACAACUGGCUUGUGGCUGCUAAGAGAUCAAAUCAACGCAGCUUUUUGAUUCUUCGAUGUCGGCUCUUCCUAUCCUAGUGAUAAACAAGUUGCUAAGGGUCGGAUUGUUCACCCGUAUUAGGGAUCG